rnacentral:rRNA from 1 species
AAGUCGAACGGAGCUUAAAGAGCUUGCUUUUUAAGCUUAGUGGCGAACGGGUGAGUAACGCGUGAGUAACCUGCCCUAGAGUGGGGGACAACAGUUGGAAACGACUGCUAAUACCGCAUAAGCCCACGAUCCGGCAUCGGAUUGAGGGAAAAGGAUUUAUUCGCUUCAGGAUGGACUCGCGUCCAAUUAGCUAGUUGGUGAGGUAACGGCCCACCAAGGCGACGAUUGGUAGCCGGUCUGAGAGGAUGAACGGCCACACUGGAACUGAGACACGGUCCAGACUCC